AGUGGAUGGGGAGCAACCUAGUUGUGCGUGUGUAAAGGUAGUGCCAAGAAAAGCGGUGAUCAUGAUGAAAAUCAAUUCCCGGUACCCGAAACCGACACAGGUGGGCAAGUAGAGAAUACUAAGGGGCGCGAGGUAACUCUCUCCAAGGAACUCGGCAAAAUGACCCCGUAACUUAGGGAGAAGGGGUGCCACCGAGAGGUGGUCGCAGUGAAGAGGCCCAGGCGACUGUUUAGCAAAAACAUAGGUCUCUGCAAACUCGAAAGAGGAGGUAUAGGGGCUGACGCCUGCCCAGUGCCGGAAGGUUAAAGAAGUUGGUCAGUCUUAGGAUGAAGCUAGCGACUGAAGCCCCGGUGAACGGCGGCCGUAACUAUAACGGUCCUAAGGUAGCGAAAUUCCUUGUCGGGUAAGUUCCGACCCGCACGAAAGGCGUAACGAUCUGGGCGCUGUCUCGGAGAGAGGCUCGGCGAAAUAGGAUUGUCUGUGAAGAUACGGACUACCUGCAUUUGGACAGAAAGACCCUAUGAAGCUUUACUAUAGCUUGGAAUUGUGUUCGGGCUUCCUGUGCGCAGGAUAGGUGGGAGGCGAAGAAGGUAUUCUUGUGGGGAUACUGGAGCCAACGGUGAGAUACCACUCUCAGGAGGCUAGAAUUCUAACUUAAUUAAGGACAGUUUCAGGUGGGUAGUUUGACUGGGGCGGUCGCCUCCAAAAAGGUAACGGAGGCGUACAAAGGUUCCCUCAGACUGGUUGGAAAACAGUCGCAGAGUGCAAAGGCAGAAGGGAGCUUGACUGCGAGAAGUACAGUUCGAGCAGGGUGGAAACACGGUCUUAGUGAUCCGACGGUGCUGUGUGGAAGGGCCGUCGUUCAACGGAUAAAAGUUACUCUAGGAUAACAGGCUGAUCUCCCCCAAGAGUUCACAUCGACGGGGAGGUUUGGCACCUCGAUGUCGGCUCAUCGCAACCUGGGGCGGAAGUACGUCCCAAGGGUUGGGCUGUUCGCCCAUUAAAGCGGUACGUGAGCUGGGUUCAGAACGUCGAGAGACAGUUCGGUCCAUAUCCGAUGUAGGCGUGAGAAUAUUGAGAGGAGCCUUCCUUAGUACGAGAGGACCGGGAAGGACGCACCGCUGGUGUACCUGUUAUGAUGCCAAUUGUAAACGCAGGGUAGCCAAGUGCGGAGAGGAUAACCGCUGAAAGCAUCUAAGUGGGAAGCCCACCUCAAGAUGAGUAUUCUGGUGUAAGGUCACGGGAAGACGACCCGUAAAUAGGCACGAGGUGGAAGUGCAGAGAUGUAUGAAGCCGAAGUGUACUAAUAGACCGUCGGCUUGA
rnacentral:rRNA from 1 species